rnacentral:rRNA from 1 species
AAAAACCCAGGUGGUGUGAGAUGGAUCCGCGUCUGAUUAGCCAGUUGGCGGGGUAACGGCCCACCAAAGCGACGAUCAGUAGCCGACCUGAGAGGGUGACCGGCCACAUUGGGACUGAGACACGGCCCAAACUCCUACGGGAGGCAGCAGUGGGGAAUAUUGCACAAUGGGCGGAAGCCUGAUGCAGCGACGCCGCGUGAGUGAAGAAGUAUCUCGGUAUGUAAAGCUCUAUCAGCAGGGAAGAAAAUGACGGUACCUGACUAAGAAGCCCCGGCUAACUACGUGCCAGCAGCCGCGGUAAUACGUAGGGGGCAAGCGUUAUCCGGAUUUACUGGGUGUAAAGGGAGCGUAGACGGCGACGCAAGUCUGGAGUGAAAGCCCGGGGCCCAACCCCGGGACUGCUUUGGAAACUGUGCUGCUGGAGUGCAGGAGAGGUAAGUGGAAUUCCUAGUGUAGCGGUGAAAUGCGUAGAUAUUAGGAGGAACACCAGUGGCGAAGGCGGCUUACUGGACUGUAACUGACGUUGAGGCUCGAAAGCGCGGGGAGCAAACAGGAUUAGAUACCCUGGUAGUCCACGCCGUAAACGAUGAAUGCUAGGUGUCGGGGGGCAAAGCCCUUCGGUGCCGC